UACGGGGGGGGGCAAGCGUUGUUCGGAAUUACUGGGCGUAAAGGGCUCGUAGGUGGCCAACUAAGUCAGACGUGAAAUCCCUCGGCUUAACCGGGGAACUGCGUCUGAUACUGGAUGGCUUGAGUUCGGGAGAGGGAUGCGGAAUUCCAGGUGUAGCGGUGAAAUGCGUAGAUAUCUGGAGGAACACCGGUGGCGAAGGCGGCAUCCUGGACCAUGACUGACGCUGAGGAGCGAAAGCCAGGGGAGCAAACGGG
rnacentral:rRNA from 1 species